rnacentral:rRNA from 1 species
UUAGACGGAAAAGACUAUAUUUAAGAUGUUUUGCCUGAAAAAUGAGCGAACGAUAAAGUUUUUAUAUUUUUCGCUUGUCAGGCCGGAAUAACUCCCUAUAAUGCGCCACCACUGACACGGAACAACGGCAAACACGCCGCCGGGUCAGCGGGGUUCUCCUCAGAAUUCCGGCAGAGAAAGCAAAAAUAAAUGCUUGACUCUGUAGCGGGAAAGCGUAUUAUGCACACCCCGCGCCGCUGAGAAAAAGCGAAGCGGCACUGCUCUUUAACAAUUUAUCAGACAAUCUGUGUGGGCACUCGAAGAUACGGAUUCUUAACGUCGCAAGACGAAAAAUGAAUACCAAGUCUCAAGAGUGAACACGUAAUUCAUUACGAAGUUUAAUUCUUUGAGCAUCAAACUUUUAAAUUGAAGAGUUUGAUCAUGGCUCAGAUUGAACGCUGGCGGCAGGCCUAACACAUGCAAGUCGAACGGUAACAGGAA